rnacentral:rRNA from 1 species
UACGAUGGGGGCUAGCGUUGCUCGGAAUCACUGGGCGUAAAGGGUGCGUAGGCGGGUCUUUAAGUCAGGGGUGAAAUCCUGGAGCUCAACUCCAGAACUGCCUUUGAUACUGAAGAUCUUGAGUCCGGGAGAGGUGAGUGGAACUGCGAGUGUAGAGGUGAAAUUCGUAGAUAUUCGCAAGAACACCAGUGGCGAAGGCGGCUCACUGGCCCGGUACUGACGCUGAGGCACGAAAGCGUGGGGAGCAAACAGG